rnacentral:rRNA from 1 species
CAGCCGCGGUAAUACGAAGGGUGCAAGCGUUACUCGGAAUUACUGGGCGUAAAGCGUGCGUAGGUGGUGGUUUAAGUCCGUUGUGAAAGCCCUGGGCUCAACCUGGGAAUUGCAGUGGAUACUGGGUCACUAGAGUGUGGUAGAGGAUAGUGGAAUUUCCGGUGUAGCAGUGAAAUGCGUAGAGAUCGGAAGGAACAUCUGUGGCGAAGGCGACUAUCUGGGCCAACACUGACACUGAGGCACGAAAGCGUGGGGAGCAAACAGGAUUAGAUACCCCAGUAGUCCCUGUCUCUUAUACACU